AUUGAACGCUGGCGGGAGGCCUAACACAUGCAAGUCGAACGAGUGGCGGACGGGUGAGUAAUGUCUGGGAAAGUGCCUGGUGGCGGGGGAUAACUACUGGAAACGGUAGCUAAUACCGCAUACUAUUGGAUCGGCCGAUAGGGGAUUAGCUGGUUGGGGGGGUAACGGCUCACCAAGGCGACGAUCCCUAGCUGGUCUGAGAGGAGGACCAGCCACACUGGGACUGAGACACGGUCCAGACUCCUACGGGAGGCAGCAGUGGGGAAUAUUGCACAAUGGGGGCAAGCCUGAUGCAGCCAUGCCGCGUGUAUGAAGAAGGCCUUCGGGUUGUAAAGUACUUUCAGCAGGGAAGCGUUACCUGCAGAAGAAGCACCGGCUAACUACGUGCCAGCAGCCGCGGUAAUUC
rnacentral:rRNA from 1 species